rnacentral:rRNA from 1 species
CAGUCGCCGCGGGAAUACGAAGGGGGCUAGCGUUGCUCGGAAUGACUGGGCGUAAAGGGCGCGUAGGCGGCAUGUACAGUCAGACGUGAAAUUCCUGGGCUUAACCUGGGGGCUGCGUUUGAUACGUGCAGGCUAGAGUGGGGAAGAGGGUUGUGGAAUUCCCAGUGUAGAGGUGAAAUUCGUAGAUAUUCGGAAGAACACCGGUGGCGAAGGCGGCAACCUGGUCCAUGACUGACGCUGAGGCGCGGAAGCGUGGGGAGCAAACAGGAUUAGAUACCCGGGUAGUCCCUGUCUCUUAUAC